CUCAAAUUAUAAUGAUAUAUAUGACUUCCUAAAUAGAAAAUCAAUUAUUCUAUGGGGAAACCAUUAUAAGUUUAAUGCAAUAUAUUAUUUUUUAACAUUGAAAAAUGCUCAGGCCAUUGAUUAUUAUCUUUUUUUCAUCUAAAAUUAAUUAUAGCUGCAAAUAAGAAAGAAAAGUUAUACUGACAGGAGAUGAACAAAAAAAAAUAAUUAAAACAAUACAUGAGGGGGGUGUAUCUACAGUUGCAGGUAUUGCUAUGGGAGGGCAUCUGGGGAUUAAAACUAAUCAAAUAAUAGCUAAAAGUAAAAAUUUGCAAUAUUCUUUUAAUUAUUUUUUUUAAGCUUUUAUUGGUUGGGGAGCAAUAAAAGUGUUUUAUCAAAUCCUGUGAGGCUUGUCAAAAAUCAAGCAGUCGUUUUGAUAAAACCUCAAAUGUUUUACAUAUAUUUGAUUUAUUUUUUAAUUUAUUACAUAUACAGAAUUGGAUGAUGAUAUUUUGAUAAUAAAUAAAUUAGAAAAUAUCCCUAGAUAUUUUUUUCCUACAACAAAGGUAUGGAAAAAAUAUCAUGCUAAAAUAUAUGGUCUAAAGCCUCCCAAACAUUGUCGGGAUGUAGAAUGUAGACUAUGGGAAACUGGUGAACCCACCAUCCUGGUGCAAAUUGAAGGUGAUGGGAAUAUUUUUUAUAGGGCGAUUAGUGUAGAGCUUACUGGAGCUCAAAAUUCCCAUGUUAUUCUCAGGCAAUGGUUGUCACAAUUUACGCUAACAUCCGAGAUGGGAAAGGUAAUUAAAAAUUAUCUUUACGACACGAACAAAAAAAUAGACAUAAAAACUUAUGUCUUAAAUAAUGUAAUGAUACAGCAGAUAUGGGCUUCUGACACAGAAGUAAGGGGGAUGGCCACAAUGUUAAAUACAGCUAUUUUUACUUAUAUAAAAUAUAAUGAUAAUUUUGUAUGGGCCCGAUAUGACCCAUUUUAUAUUCACGACAAUAUUAAAAUAUUUAAUAAUAAUUUUAUUUAUAUAAAA